rnacentral:rRNA from 1 species
GAUGAACGCUGGCGGCGUGCCUAAUACAUGCAAGUCGAGCGAACAGACGAGGCGCUUGUUCCUCUGACGUUAGCGGCGGACGGGUGAGUAACACGUGGGUAACCUACCUAUAAGACUGGGAUAACUUCGGGAAACCGGAGCUAAUACCGGAUAAUAUAUUGAACCGCAUGGUUCAAUAGUGAAAGACGGUUUUGCUGUCACUUAUAGAUGGAUCCGCGCCGAAUUGGCUGGUUGGUAGGGUAACGGCUUACCAAGGCAACGAUGCGUAGCCGACCUGGGGGGGGGUUCGCCCACACUGGAACUGAGACACGGCCCAGAGUCCUACGGGAGGCAGCAGUAGGGAAUCUUCGGAAAUGGGGGAAAGCCUGACGAAGCAACGCCACGUGGGUGAUGAAGGUCUUCGGAUCGUAAAACUCUGCUAUUGGGGAAAAACGAAUGUGGAAGUAACUAUGCACGUCUUGACGGUACCUAAUCAGAAAGCCACGGCUAACUACGUG